GAUGAAGUGCCUGAUUAAAGGAUUAUCGUGAUAGGAUAAAUCAAGUAAAUUAAUUUACCUUCAUUA
rnacentral:tRNA from 1 species